rnacentral:rRNA from 1 species
GGGUUGUGAGGUUAAGCGACUAAGCGUACACGGUGGAUGCCCUGGCAGUCAGAGGCGAUGAAGGACGUGCUAAUCUGCGAUAAGCGUCGGUAAGGUGAUAUGAACCGUUAUAACCGGCGAUUUCCGAAUGGGGAAACCCAGUGUGUUUCGACACACUAUCAUUAACUGAAUCCAUAGGUUAAUGAGGCGAACCGGGGGAACUGAAACAUCUAAGUACCCCGAGGAAAAGAAAUCAACCGAGAUUCCCCCAGUAGCGGCGAGCGAACGGGGAGCAGCCCAGAGCCUGAAUCAGUGUGUGUGUUAGUGGAAGCGUCUGGAAAGGCGCGCGAUACAGGGUGACAGCCCCGUACACAAAAAUGCACAUGCUGUGAGCUCGAUGAGUAGGGCGGGACACGUGGUAUCCUGUCUGAAUAUGGGGGGACCAUCCUCCAAGGCUAAAUACUCCUGACUGACCGAUAGUGAACCAGUACCGUGAGGGAAAGGCGAAAAGAACCCCGGCGAGGGGAGUGAAAAAGAACCUGAAACCGUGUACGUACAAGCAGUGGGAGCACGCUUAGGCGUGUGACUGCGUACCUUUUGUAUAAUGGGUCAGCGACUUAUAUUCUGUAGCAAGGUUAACCGAAUAGGGGAGCCGAAGGGAAACCGAGUCUUAACUGGGCGUUAAGUUGCAGGGUAUAGACCCGAAACCCGGUGAUCUAGCCAUGGGCAGGUUGAAGGUUGGGUAACACUAACUGGAGGACCGAACCGACUAAUGUUGAAAAAUUAGCGGAUGACUUGUGGCUGGGGGUGAAAGGCCAAUCAAACCGGGAGAUAGCUGGUUCUCCCCGAAAGCUAUUUAGGUAGCGCCUCGUGAAUUCAUCUCCGGGGGUAGAGCACUGUUUCGGCAAGGGGGUCAUCCCGACUUACCAACCCGAUGCAAACUGCGAAUACCGGAGAAUGUUAUCACGGGAGACACACGGCGGGUGCUAACGUCCGUCGUGAAGAGGGAAACAACCCAGACCGCCAGCUAAGGUCCCAAAGUCAUGGUUAAGUGGGAAACGAUGUGGGAAGGCCCAGACAGCCAGGAUGUUGGCUUAGAAGCAGCCAUCAUUUAAAGAAAGCGUAAUAGCUCACUGGUCGAGUCGGCCUGCGCGGAAGAUGUAACGGGGCUAAACCAUGCACCGAAGCUGCGGCAGCGACGCUUAUGCGUUGUUGGGUAGGGGAGCGUUCUGUAAGCCUGUGAAGGUGUGCUGUGAGGCAUGCUGGAGGUAUCAGAAGUGCGAAUGCUGACAUAAGUAACGAUAAAGCGGGUGAAAAGCCCGCUCGCCGGAAGACCAAGGGUUCCUGUCCAACGUUAAUCGGGGCAGGGUGAGUCGACCCCUAAGGCGAGGCCGAAAGGCGUAGUCGAUGGGAAACAGGUUAAUAUUCCUGUACUUGGUGUUACUGCGAAGGGGGGACGGAGAAGGCUAUGUUGGCCGGGCGACGGUUGUCCCGGUUUAAGCGUGUAGGCUGGUUUUCCAGGCAAAUCCGGAAAAUCAAGGCUGAGGCGUGAUGACGAGGCACUACGGUGCUGAAGCAACAAAUGCCCUGCUUCCAGGAAAAGCCUCUAAGCAUCAGGUAACAUCAAAUCGUACCCCAAACCGACACAGGUGGUCAGGUAGAGAAUACCAAGGCGCUUGAGAGAACUCGGGUGAAGGAACUAGGCAAAAUGGUGCCGUAACUUCGGGAGAAGGCACGCUGAUAUGUAGGUGAGGUCCCUCGCGGAUGGAGCUGAAAUCAGUCGAAGAUACCAGCUGGCUGCAACUGUUUAUUAAAAACACAGCACUGUGCAAACACGAAAGUGGACGUAUACGGUGUGACGCCUGCCCGGUGCCGGAAGGUUAAUUGAUGGGGUUAGCGCAAGCGAAGCUCUUGAUCGAAGCCCCGGUAAACGGCGGCCGUAACUAUAACGGUCCUAAGGUAGCGAAAUUCCUUGUCGGGUAAGUUCCGACCUGCACGAAUGGCGUAAUGAUGGCCAGGCUGUCUCCACCCGAGACUCAGUGAAAUUGAACUCGCUGUGAAGAUGCAGUGUACCCGCGGCAAGACGGAAAGACCCCGUGAACCUUUACUAUAGCUUGACACUGAACAUUGAGCCUUGAUGUGUAGGAUAGGUGGGAGGCUUUGAAGUGUGGACGCCAGUCUGCAUGGAGCCGACCUUGAAAUACCACCCUUUAAUGUUUGAUGUUCUAACGUUGGCCCCUGAUCGGGGUUGCGGACAGUGUCUGGUGGGUAGUUUGACUGGGGCGGUCUCCUCCUAAAGAGUAACGGAGGAGCACGAAGGUUGGCUAAUCCUGGUCGGACAUCAGGAGGUUAGUGCAAUGGCAUAAGCCAGCUUGACUGCGAGCGUGACGGCGCGAGCAGGUGCGAAAGCAGGUCAUAGUGAUCCGGUGGUUCUGAAUGGAAGGGCCAUCGCUCAACGGAUAAAAGGUACUCCGGGGAUAACAGGCUGAUACCGCCCAAGAGUUCAUAUCGACGGCGGUGUUUGGCACCUCGAUGUCGGCUCAUCACAUCCUGGGGCUGAAGUAGGUCCCAAGGGUAUGGCUGUUCGCCAUUUAAAGUGGUACGCGAGCUGGGUUUAGAACGUCGUGAGACAGUUCGGUCCCUAUCUGCCGUGGGCGCUGGAGAACUGAGGGGGGCUGCUCCUAGUACGAGAGGACCGGAGUGGACGCAUCACUGGUGUUCGGGUUGUCAUGCCAAUGGCACUGCCCGGUAGCUAAAUGCGGAAGAGAUAAGUGCUGAAAGCAUCUAAGCACGAAACUUGCCCCGAGAUGAGUUCUCCCUGACUCCUUGAGAGUCCUGAAGGAACGUUGAAGACGACGACGUUGAUAGGCCGGGUGUGUAAGCGCAGCGAUGCGUUGAGCUAACCGGUACUAAUGAACCGUGAGGCUUAACCUUACAACGCCGAAG